GCUGGAAGGCGCUUGCCAGCUCCCCAGCAAAGCUGCUGUAGAUGUUCCGGGGGAGCAGCAUCUUGGAAAGCCUUCUGGCCCCCUCACAAAGGGUCACGACAACACAGAAGAAGCAGAGGGAGACAUUCAGACCGGCCAUGUGGGGAUCGUGAGGGGCCUGGGAAGCGGAGGAGUCUCCAGAGUGUGGCACCCGCAGGAGAUCGGGCCAGGCUUCCCCACCCUCUUAAUAUAGAAGGGGCUACUAGCCAACGUGGCAAAAGCUCACAGGCAUGCAGGUCCCCCGUCAAGGAGGCUGAAGGGAAAAGUCCCAGCUGGCGCAGGUUCCCACCCAAAGCAGAGAGGUGCUCAGCGGCCGGCUGCCCAGACCAGUGUCGGUGAGUCACACAUGCUCUUCACCGUCCGCUCUUCGUGCAUUGACCCGGGGAGAUCAGAAAUGGUUGCUCCAAGCCUCCUGCGCUCAGAGCUUAGGACUCAUCACCAGCCCACACGGUCCUUUCAUUACUGGCUCCCGGGCUGUGACUCACCUGACACUUCCCGAAAUGCUGAGCGUGUUUCUGCGUAAAUACUAAUCCUCGUGAACACUCCUUUAUGGAAGGGUGUGUGUAAACCAUUCCAUAAAUUUGGUGUUGGGAGACAA